ACAAAUAUAGACAACAGUCCUACUUCACUAGGCAAAAAUACAAAAUAUUCAGUACAAAUACCCAGCACCGGGUAGAAAGAGAGGGGUGUGUGCUUCCCUAGCGACGGCUAUUGUAAAUAAUCAAAGGAAAAUGGCGACCGGGUAGGUCUGGUUGCUAUUGCAACCUUGUCAAAAGGUUGUUACCGUCAAUUUCCUCCUAUUUAAUUCCAGAAAUGGUCAGCAGGCCACAGUCAAGUAAGGCCGUGCUGAUGAUGUCUCUGAUCUGGAAGUAUUAUGCUGACCCAGUGACGGUUCUGCCCAGUAAGUGGCUUUUCUCCUCUAGAGCGAAUGGUGGCCUUCCCAUCUGGAGUAGCAGAUGGUGUUGGAAUCCCAUGGCGGCUCGUUGUUUGUAACAAGGUAGUGGCUAUAAUGAUCCAAGCAGUGGCUUGACAGCCUGAACUUUACUGUCUACGCUGUGAGACCAAAUUAUGCAAUUGUAUACUCUGGGCCUUGAUAUUUUGUUCGUUUUUUUGUGUUGAAUGUUUUUGAGAAACUGCACUGUUACAUUUUUGAUAAAUCAUCAGGAUUGUUUUGUAGCAUUUUCUUUCUUUACCAAUCCAUUCCUCGUCAUGAAACUACAUCAGACUUCUCAAAGAUGUCUUAUGAACUAAGUCUGGCUUAAUAAUGGUUACAAUUUGUUCCUUUUCUAAAUUAUUCAAGCCAUUUCACUCUUUUACCUACAUGCAACAGUGUUCUGCUGUGCAUCUUUGUUUGUCGGUUGCCUACUUUAUAACCCUCUUCCAGAAUUAUUAUUAUUUUGACAUAUCAAUAAAAACCUGCAAAACAUUAUUUGUGCUUGGCAUUGUAAGUUAAAGGGGGGCUGAACUUCCUGAUUUGGCCUUAUUUUGGGGCUUUGCUCAUUAGAAAUGCUAGCGGCCAUGACAGAAGCGAAACAAGAGUUGUGUUGGAGGUGUGGUUCGAUGUGGAUGUUUUGUGGGUGUUUCUUUGCCAUUCAUUAACAACAAACAAGGGCGGUAACGUUAAUGUAGUGACAGGUUAUAACAUCUAUAACCCGAAGUCAUAAACCCUGCCCAUUUCUACAAAUUAGAUUUUGAACCUAACCUUAACCAUACUGCUAACCUUAUGCUUACCGCUAAAUUUAAAUGAAGACUGUGGAAUCUUCCCUUUGUGGCAAUAAUAAUAAUAAUAAUUUAUAUCACUGAUGUAGCGCUUUUCAUUACAGAAAAUCAUCUCAAAGCGCAUAAAAAGCAAAACAAACAACAAAUGUAAAUUGAGAUGGUAGAGAUCAAUGUUGUAGUACACGAUUUGUCGUGGUGUUGGAUACAUCUGUACUUGGUCUUGUUUUGGACAGUGAAACCAGCGGAUUAAAAAACAAAUGAUCAGCUUCCAUUCAGUCAUCACUUAAAACCGCUUCGCCAGGCCAAAGAUAUUCACUUCUUUCUUGAAACAUAUCUUUACAGCCUUAAUAUCUAAUAUCGACAUGUUUGCGCAGUGGCAAACCUAUAAACCUUCCGUGUGUGUGACAGGUUCAUGAUUCUGAAAGGACAACAACCGUAAUACCAGCGCACUCAUGUAGUAGUGCAUUUUUUGCAAAACACAAAGGGCCAGUUAUGUAGUAGGGGUAUACGCAGGUAUUGCUUAGUUUUUUUUCAGUGGGCAUUGAUUAUAAACGCUUUUUUCCCCUACUGAUGCGUAUCAAAGUAGUGUAGUGGAGGAAUCCAGCACAAAGUAGCCAACACAACCGCAAAGCACGUGAAAUAAAUUCACAUGCGUGCUGCACACACCCUAGUUUCAACAGAAUAUUAUCUGCAGGCAGCAAGUGUGCAGCUCUCAACUGGUUUUGGCAUGGAGCAGCUCACAGAAGAAUGACAUUGGUAGCCGGUAGGGUAGGAAAGACGUUUAAAUUUAGGAUAUCUACCAGUAAAUGCUGACAAAUGCAACAAUCGGUAUGCAAACCAGGUAUUUAAAAAGUUAAUCCGAAGUGUUAGUAGGCUAUUUGUGAUGCGCAAUUGUCAUCAUAAACUGUUUGCAUCAGGGGCGUAGACAUGGAUGGGCCUGGGUGGACAGAGGCCCACCCACUGUGGAGCCAGGCCCUGACAGGCCCACCCAAUCAGAUUGAUGUGGUAUAAGCAUUGUCGUGGAUUUAGACCUUAACAUUUUUUAUCUUUUUUUAUAAAAAGUGUUGAAUUUUGAGAGUGAAAAUCUAAAAAAUCUAUAGGAAAACUCAUAAAAACAUAGGGUUUUUCACAGGGUGCCUUUCCUUCGCUAGAUGGGCCGUUUGGGAACUUUUUGGCAAAAUUAGAGUAUACCCACUUCUCCAGGCACCACUGCAUAGGGCUGAUGGAAAGACAGCAUUCACACACAGCAUGAUGUUGAAAGAUAAGCAGUCCAUAAACUCUGACAUAAUAAGCCAGUAGGUCCCAAUCAUAAGAAUACAAAAACGCAACCAUUAAGCAUUUCCCAGUCAAAAUGUAGAAGUAUUACUUCCCAUUGCAAAAAAAACAUUUCACUUUUAGCACACAGUAACUGGUAACCUAAAGUUUAAAGUGGAACUGACAGCGUUUUAAUAUUCUGGACAAAAACAGACAAAUGUAUGAUCAAAAGUCAGUCAUAACCUGGCUAAUAGACUAGCGUAUCUAUUUAUAUAGUAAGCUAAAAACACGGAGCCUAACGUUAGCUAGCUAGGAGGAUGUCAUGUUAUGCCAUUGGAGGAGUGGGUGAAUGAUUGACCUUUUCCCCUCAUAUCGUUUUUCGGUGGCUAUACACAGGUAGAGAUUUGGGUGUCAUUUGGUUAGCUAGCAAGAACUUGAUAGGCUGUUAUCCAGUUAGCAUAUCUAUUGCGUUCGCAAAUACACUCUGGCUGUGUACUCCGAUUUAAGAGCACUCUCGUUUGAGUGUACCAGAACGCAGAACAACUGAUGAAUUUACGAACGCGCAACACCAACUGAAUAUGACCGGUGUCAGUAAACGUAUGCAAAAAAAAAUCAUAAUUAGUCAAAAACGCUCUAGAUAACAUGUAAACAGCCUAACCAGCUCUGCUACAGUGAGUAAAAUGGUCGGACUGAGAUGUUCUCUCAUUUGUGUCUGGAAGUAGCAAGCUAGCCAACUUUAGCUAAUUAGCUUGGGUGCUUGGCUGGGACAUGUAUGCAUUGGCAGGCAUGAUGCAAAAGGAUGAGGAGGCUACAAUUCCCCAUCGUUUAUCAGUGCAAUUUUGACGGCCAACUAGAUUCAAAAGUUUGAGAGGGUUAAUCUAAUGUUCCUUCGUUAGAUUUUAGCUAGUUGGUUGUUGAUCUUGUUGUUGAUGUGCAUAACUGAAGAAGAGAGAGCCUACCUUUUUCAUGGUUGUUCAAGACUGAUGUUUUUAUUCGGUUUUAUUUGCUGCAGUGUCUAUUAAUGGUCCAAACGCAUGGCCACUUUCCCACUCUAUAUUGCUAUAGGGUUUUGUAAGAAAUUGUAUUAGAUAUUGGUAACUUGUUUUAACAACUUCUCAACAUUACCUAUAAGUUGACACAACAUACACACCCCCUCUUUCUCCUGGACAUAUGCUGGACACAUAGGACAUAUACACGGCACCCACAAUUCCCCUCCCCCAUGACAAUCACACAGACACACCCAACCCAUGGUUGGACCUCAGGACAAAGAACUCUCAGGAACCAAUGGAACGUGGACACCAGGCCUGAUCAGGACUACCCAAGACCCAGAUCGACCAAUCGGAAGGCCGGACUCGCAGAUCUACCUACUUUGCUUGUUGUCUAUAUAGUACUGAACAAUUCUGGAAACUCCCUCUUUCCCGGAUGAUUCACUAGGAGUCAGACUGAAAGAGCCUUGCUGCAAGAUUUUACUAAGAUAUCUUUACAUGUAAUUAAACGGCCUUAUUAUAAAAUUA